rnacentral:lncRNA from 1 species
UAUUUGCUACUAACCUGCCAUUUGAACCUCCAGGACUGCAAUGGAGAGGAGGAGUUACAAUUACCUCUUCACAGUUGCAAGCUCAAAAAGAGCAACUACUAGGCAGACAGAAGAAGAAAGGCAAGAUAGUUAGUAAUGCUACUACAAUAGACCAAUAGUUUACCAAUAGUUGACUGGAGCACAUUUUCUGUAUUUUUUGAUACUUUGGUGUUUUGUAUCUUAGCAAGCAAUCUCUUUUGAGUAUUUUGUUGCUACUUUGGUGUUUUGUGCCUUAGAGCUUGCAUUUUUUUAAAUUUUGUUGCUACUUUGGUGUUUUAUGCCUUAGAGCAACAUUUAGCUGCAGUAACAGGGGAUGCCAGUAACUUUUGUAUAUUAUUGC